AAUGAUGGGAAGGGUCAGAAUUAAAAUUGGAAAAACAAAAGAUUAAUAUAAGGGAAUAUAAAUGAUUUUUAAAAAAGCGCAAAGAAAAGACUGAACGCGCAUUCACCUUCGACCAGGGUCUCUGGAUUCCGUUCUUCAGGAAAGGGGGGACCCUCACAAAAUGUGAGUAUUAUAUGUUUUAGUGCCUGUGAAAGUAAAUGUAUGUAGAACCAUAUUUUACAAAACAUUAUGAAUUCUCAUGAUAUCUGUAAUAUAAUAUUGUCCUUUAGCUGACUUGUUUUCUCUGUCAUCGUAGUAGAAUGGGAGGGAAAAAUAAAAAUAAAAUGACCUAGCCCGUGUUCCUUUUAAUCACAUGACGCACUAAAGAAAACCGGUAUUACUGGAAGAGGAGGAGAAAAUUUCCUUGAGACUAACAUACAACUCAUGAUGAACUAUACAACACUAUUCACAUGGAUAUAGGAAAUAAAAAGCCAUAGAGGUUUGGAAUGAAAUGUGGGUGAAUAAAUGAGGACAAUCCUUGUGUGAACAUUUCCUUUAUCUCCAGCAGCAAUGGAAUUACCCAGCAACCUCAGUCGGCAGAAUAGCAUAAAACCAAACGUUCCACCACGCAGACCAAUCCUGAUUCAUCGAGGGCCACCAAAAUGCAUACAGAGAGGAAAGUUCUUGAUGAGAAUGGAAAAGUUUGAAAAUAGACUUUUGGGAAGAAAGA